GAUGAACGCUGGCGGCGUGCCUAAUACAUGCAAGUCGAGCGAAUGGAUUAAGAGCUUGCUCUUAUGAAGUUAGCGGCGGACGGGUGAGUAACACGUGGGUAACCUGCCCAUAAGACUGGGAUAACUCCGGGAAACCGGGGCUAAUACCGGAUAACAUUUUGAACCGCAUAGUUCGAAAUUGAAAGGCGGCUUCGGCUGUCACUUAUGGAUGGACCCGCGUCGCAUUAGCUAGUUGGUGAGGUAACGGCUCACCAAGGCAACGAUGCGUAGCCGACCUGAGAGGGUGAUCGGCCACACUGGGACUGGAACACGGCCCAGACUCCUACGGGAGGCAGCAGUAGGGAAUCUUCCGCAAUGGACGAAAGUCUGACGGAGCAACGCCGCGUGAGUGAUGAAGGCUUUCGGGUCGUAAAACUCUGUUGUUAGGGAAGAACAAGUGCUAGUUGAAUAAGCUGACACCUUGACGGUACCUAACCAGAAAGCCACGGCUAACUACGUGCCAGCCGCCGCAGUAA
rnacentral:rRNA from 1 species